rnacentral:rRNA from 1 species
UACGUAGGGGGCAAGCGUUGUCCGGAUUUAUUGGGCGUAAAGAGCGUGUAGGCGGCCAGGUAGGUCGGUUGUGAAAACUGGAGGCUCAACCUUCAGACGUCGACCGAAACCAUCUGGCUAGAGUCCGGGAGAGGAGAGUGGAAUUCCUGGUGUAGCGGUGAAAUGCGCAGAUAUCAGGAGGAACACCAAUGGCGAAGGCAGCUCGCUGGGACGUGACUGACGCUGAGGCGCGAAGGCGUGGGGAGCGAACGGG